ACCCUGUUUUACCUAAUUUGUUGUCCAUCAUGUAAAAUUUAAGUGAUGAUAGACGCCAAUUUGGGUAGAGGAAGGCUCACU
rnacentral:pre_miRNA from 14 species